rnacentral:tRNA from 1 species
UUCCCGGUAGCUCAGACGGUAAAGCGUCUGCCUACAAUGCGGGAGACCCGGGUUCGAUCCCUGGGUCGGAAA